CUCUCCAAUCUCCCUUACCUACUACUGCCGCUGCCGCCUCCUCUCGGUUUCUGAUGCCGCUUCGAUCGAAGAUCACCGCAUCACUGGUGCUUAGAUACCAGGGUAUGUCUCAUGUUCUUCGUUGACGGGAGGAGGGAAACAGCAGCCGCGCCAGGCGGCAUGCCUUCCGUGCCGCACGGUGCCCGAGACGCGGCUGCCCCAUGCUCUGUCGGCGCAGAUUCAUCGUCUUCAUCUACACGAGGCAUCUCUACCAGACCACCGGCCAUGCCCCCCCCCCAUCUACCAUGCUGGAUGGCCGCCUCCUAGAUGAGGUAUCACGCUGCAUCAACCAUCCUCUGCUGCCGCCGCCGCUGCUGCCUAGGUCCCUCCUCUCUGCUCCUGCCAAGGCUGAUAUAAAGAGCUCAUCAUCGUCCUCGAACAGGGAAGUAGCAUUUCUGGAGGAAAUGGAAGAUGUCUUGUUUCAGUUUUGAUGGGAAUCGCUACAAAUAGCUAUGUUCAUGAAUGCCUCAAAAUUAGGGGAAAAGAUCCUAGAUCGAUCUGACCUCCUUGAUGAGGAGGGGAAGAUGGAGGAGGCUCUCGUUCUUGGCACUCGGAUCUCGAUAGGAUCGGCAUCAGCUCCAGUCAUCUGCAAAACACAAAAUAAAGGUCAAGCCUUGGCAACAAAAACCACGGGAAACCUGCAAUUCUGUACUGAACAAGAAGAGAUAAGUUGGGGAGAAAUUUAGGUCGCCCGAUUGAUGAGCUCCUGCAUAUGCAUACUAAAUGUUGAGCUUUAUUUCACCGACAUUUGGUUCUGAACAUGUGUGCUUUUAAGAAUGUUUGUAUUCUUCUCUAUUUUGAACAUCCCACAAAGAGAUUGAAAAUGGUGAUAUGUUCCUUUCCAUGGUUUAAGAACUCUGGGACUAGGCCCAACUAACAAAUAGCUUCCUCGUGUUAAAAUACAUCUGUAUUCAGCUGUUUUCAAGAGAAAUGUUUGAUCAUUUUCAGAUGAUCAGCAUAUGGUUAGCGAGAUUCAAGGGAACACGUGAUCUGAUUGUGCCUUCUAUAAGCAAAGCUGAGUUGUUGAGGUAAUUGUUCUUUAGGUACCUUCUAUAAACACGCGACACAUCUGU